AUGGAGCAACAAAAUGAGAAGCAAGCAGCGGUGUCUGAAUGUGUGGAACAUCAAAACAACAUUGACAAAGAUGUUUUUCCAGAUCGAAACACUAUGAAUAAUGUCAGCAAUUACAAGAAGCACGUUGAACUUGAUAUAGAUAUCAACAUAGCACUAUCAAACAACGAUAAGCAAGAACAUGUCAAAGAGUUACAGGACACUUUGCAUCCAUUAGAUAUUGCAAGGCAAAAGUACUUCUUCACAGAUGAUGCGACACCUAGCUACAGAAUUCUUCCAGACCAUGAUGAUUGUGGGAAUCAAAUAACAGAGCCAGAAUUGUGGCGCCCAUUAGAGAUGAACUCGGAAGACUAUAAUGCUCAAAUAGAGAGCAAAGAAAAAAUAUCCAUGAAAUACAAGCAAGGAUGGCAUCGAAGGACACACCCCGCAGGAUGA
rnacentral:rRNA from 1 species